GGAUGUGAGGGCGAUCAUUCGCCACCCCAUUGAUCACCAGGGUUGAUUCGGCUGAUCUGGUUGGCUAGGCGGGUGCCCCCUUCCUCCCUCACUGCUCCAUGUAUGUCCCUCCCGAAACUGGGUGCUCGGUGGAAGAAGACUACCUUCCCGGAAUAGAGGAGGGCGGGUGGUCAGUCCAGGAUAUGAAUAGCUGUGCUUCCCUGCUAGAGCCUCCAAAUAAGCUCUCAAGACACAUAGUGGUCCACUCCCCUCAGAGGACAUCAAGCCAUCAGACUGCAUCCGGAUGUGGCUUUU
ensembl:misc_RNA 7SK 7SK RNA